CAAGUUUCCACAAGGCAGAUAUAGAGACGCGAGGAUAAAAUAGAGGUAGAACCCGGGAAGCAAAGCCAGAAUAUACAAUAGUGCUGCGACGAUUCUCUGGUUAUAACACAAUAUCUAUAAUAUCUAUUUUUCUUAACCGAAAUAAUACGAAUAGUGUCACUGUUUCUUGCAAAGAGAAACAGCAUAUUUCUCUUCUCUGGAACUCAAAAGGAAACGGAGGGUGCCGGGGAGCCUACAUCCCAGCCAUAUAUCAUCUGCGCUUCUUGUUUCCUCCCCGUGUCACAUGGGUAUUCCGACUUCCUCCUGCAGUCGUCUUCUUAGAUUAACUAGUCUCUAAAUUGCCCAUAUUGUAUGACUGUGUGAGUGCAUACCCUAUGAUGGACUGGCAUCCCAUCCAGGGUGUACCCCAGCCUUGUGAUGGACUGGCAUCCUGCCCAGGGUGAACCCCAACCCUGUGAUGGACUGGCUUCCCGUCCAGGGUGUACUCCAGCUUUGUGCCAUGUGAUGGAGUGGCAUCUCGUCCAGGCUAUAUCCCAACCCUGUGAUGGACUGGCAUCCUGCCCAGGGUGAACCCUAGCCCUGUGAUGGACUGGCAUCCUGCCCAGGGUGAACCCUAGCCCUGUGAUGGACUGGCAUCCAGUCCAGGUUGUAUCCCAACCCUGUGAUGGACUGGCAUCCUGUCCACGGUGUCCCCCAGCUCUUUGAUGGACUAGCAUUCCGCCCAGGGUGUUCCCCAGCCCCAUGCCCGGUGAGAUACUGGCAUCCCGCUCAGAGUGUACCCCCAGCCCUGUGAUGGACUGGCAUCCCACCCAAAGUGAACCCCAGCCCUGUGAUGGACUGGCAUCCCGCCCAGGGUGUCCCCCAGCCCUGUGAUGGACUGGCAUCCAGUCCAGGUUGUAUCCCAACCCUGUGAUGGACUGGCAUCCAGUCUAGGUUGUAUCCCAACCCUGUGAUGGACUGGCAUCCUGCCCACGGUGAACCCCCAGCCCUGUGAUGGACUGGCAUCCCGUCCAGGGUGUACCCCAGCCCCGUGCCCGGUGAUGGACUGGCAUCCUGCCCAGGGUGUUCCCCAGCCCCGUGCCCAGUGAGGUACUGGCAUCCCACCCAGGGUGUCCCCCAGCCCUGUGAUGGACUGGCAUCCCGCCCAGGGUGUACCCCAGCCCUGUGAUGGACUGGCACCCCGCCCAGGGUGUCCCCCAGCCCUGUGAUGGACUGGCAUCCCGCCCAGGGUGUACCCCAGCCCUGUGAUGGACUGGCACCCCGCCAAGGGUGUCCCCCAGCCCUGUGAUGGACUGGCAUCCCGCCCAGGGUGUACCCCAGCCCUGUGAUGGACUGGCAUCCAGCCCAGGGUGUCCCCCAGCCCUGUGCUGGCUGGGACUGGGUACCCCCCCCCAUAAAAAAAACACUGACUAGAAUAAAUAAUGGAAGGAUAGAUGGAUUUUUAAUAAUAAAUCUGGAAAUAAUACAAGUCACUGCAUGUUCUACAGACGCGCCGCACUAUGUAACUUCUGCCUGCUAAAUAAAGCCAUGAAGAUCAAGCUUG